UACGGAGGGUGCGAGCGUUAAUCGGAAUUACUGGGCGUAAAGGGUGCGUAGGUGGUUUAUUAAGUUAUCUGUGAAAUCCCCGGGCUCAACCUGGGCAGGUCAGAUAAGACUGGUAGACUCGAGUAUGGGAGAGGGUAGUGGAAUUUCCGGUGUAGCGGUGAAAUGCGUAGAGAUCGGAAGGAACACCAGUGGCGAAGGCGGCUACCUGGCCCAAUACUGACACUGAGGCACGAAAGCGUGGGGAGCAAACAGG
rnacentral:rRNA from 1 species